rnacentral:lncRNA from 1 species
ACAGAACAGGUGACUCAGGAUGAUUCAGGUCAGAGCAGGUGACCAGGGGUGACUCAGAAUGGAGCAGGUGGCCAGGGGUGACUCAGAAUGGAGCAGGCGGCCAGGGGUGACUCAGAAUGGAGCAGGCGGCCAGGGGUGACUCAGAAUGGAGCAGGCGGCCAGGGGUGACUCAGAAUGGAGCAGGCGGCCAGGGGUGACUCAGAAUGGAGCAGGUGGCCAGGGGUGACUCAGAAUGGAGCAGGUGGCCAGGGGUGACUCAGAAUGGAGCAGGCGACCAGGGGUGACUCAGAAUGGAGCAGUGUCUGUGGAAUUCACCGGUGAUCCACCUGCCUCAGCCUCCCAAAGUGCUGGGAUUACAGGCGUGAGCCAUUGUGCCCGGCCAAGAACAGCCUUCCAUUUCUACCUUGCCUGUAGCCUCCCAAACCAAAAUACGGGUCUCAACACCUGGUCCUUGAUCUCCUUGACUCCCGUUGGACCCAAGAAAAACCUGGCAAAGCAGCCACAUUGGCCCAAGCCAGCGACACCGCGCGGCCCCGCGCUUCCCACAGCCCUGGGCCCGGCAAGGCUGAAAUCAAGUCUAGAAGAUGGCAAGGUGGGAAGGAACGCUCCUCUUUCAUCUUGCUUCAGAGAAAACCUUCGCCAGUCUCAGCAUCAUCAGUACACACGUGGCCUGCUCUUCAGCGGAUCUCACCAGUAACACCUUCUGGCAUUUGGGCUAGAGACCGGGCCCCUGAGGCCGCCCUGGGAAGCCUGAGGUGUGGAGGGGGAUUCAGGAUGUGCCUCUGUUCCUGUAUGUGCAAGUGUGAGUAUGAGUGUGUGUGUGAAUGUGGAGGUGGGUGAGUGCAUGAAUGUGUGUGUGUGAAUUUGAGUGUCAUGUGGGUGUCUCUGUAUGCAUGUGUGUGUGUACAUGGUGUCUUUGUAUGCAUGUGUGUGUGUGGGUGUUGUGUGUAUGUGUACGUGUGUGCAUGUGUAUGUAAAUGUAAUUCUGUGGGUGUGUGUGAGUAUAUGUGUCAGAGUGUCAUGUGGGUACAUGGGAGUGUUGUGUGGGUGUGAGUGUGUGAGUGCUAUGUGAGUGUGUGGUGUGUGUGUUUGUGUGUUAUGUAGGUGUGUUUGUGGGUGUUGUAUGUGUGAAGGUGGCCGUGUAUGUGGGUGAGUGUUAUGUGGGGGUGAGUAUGUGUACGCGUGGGUGAGUGUGGGUGAGUGUUGUGUUAUGUGGGUGUGAGUGUGCAUGAGUGUGUGAGUGCUAUGUGUGUGGUGUGAGUGUGUUUGUGUGAGAGUGUUAUGUGGGUGUCUGUGGGUGUUGCGUGUGUGAAUGUGGAUGUGCAUGUGGGUGAGUGUUACGUGGGUGUGUGUGUGGUGUGAGUGUAUGUGUGAGUGUUAUGUGGGUGUUUGUGGGUGUUGUGUGCGUGAAUGUGGAUGUGCAUGUGGGUGAGUGUUAUGUGGGUGUAUGUGUAUGCGUGGGUGAGUGUGGUGAGUGUUGUGUCAGUGUGAGUGUCCAUGAGUGUGUGGUGUGUGUGAGUGCUAUGUGAGUGUGUGUGUGGGGUCUGAGUGUGUGUGAGAGUGUUAUGUGGGUGUUGUGUGUGUGAAUGUGGCUGUGCAUGUGUGUUAUGUGGGUGUAUGUGUAUGCGUGGGUGAGUGUGGGGAGUGUGAGUGUGCAUGAGUGUGCAUGAGUGUGUGGGCACAGAAUUUAUCUGAUCCCAAACCAUUUUCACACCUACUCUCCCAUUCGGAGGCCCAUUAAAGGCCCCCCAAGCACUCCCCUGUCCCUCCCGCCUGUGGAAGGGCCGCUCCUGCUCUGAGGUCUUCUAGCACAGCCCAUCUUGCACAGUGGCCAUUUCCUGCUUGCAUGGUAGUUAUUUGUACCAUUGUCUCUGCUCCUUCUAACUGGACGUCUCCUGAGGACAACACAGCGUCCGGUCUGUCGUUGUCUUCCCGAAGCCACCAGCACACAGUAGGUGCUCAACAAAUAGCUGGUGAAGGCUGGGCACGGUGGCUCACACCUGUAAUCCCAGCACUUUGGGAGGCCAAGAUACGAGGAUUCCUUAAGCCCAGGAGUUCGAGACCAGCCUGGUCAACAUAGCGAAGCCCCGUCUCUGUUUAAAAUGUAUAUAACUGGUGAACUCGUAUCAACCCACCCCCCAGCUCAGUGUUCUCCACAGAGUCCUUGGGGGUGUUUUCUCUCCCCUACAUUUCUGCUUUCAGCCCCAGAAACACCUGCCCCGGCAGCCUGGGGUGGGUGGGUGGGACAGCAGCUCCCUGCAGGCUUUGGUGAGGGUGGCCCCACCCGGAACUCCACAUGAGGUCAACCUCCCUGGUCUGCAAGUCAUCACAGAGAGGCUGAGAACCUGGCUGAGGCACUGGAGGGGCCGUGCGCGGUGACGGGACGCGCUCAGCCUUCUAGGGGCCUCAGUUUCCCCUCUUGGCACUAGGAGCAGCACCUUCCCACCCACUUCACAGGCCGUUGCAAGAUGAUAGCGGCGGCAGCUUUUGAAAAGCUCUGAAUGAUAUCAGACAACAAAUCACAGCACUGAAAAAACAGGUCUAGUGCUUUCGGUGUGAGAAAAGGUUAUUUUUCAGUGUGCUGAAAUACUGUACGGCAAUUAAGUUGCUGAAGAUGGAUUUGAAUGAACUAAAACUUAAACGUGGCAGAGAGAAAGCAGCCUGAGGCAUGGCUGACUCUGCUCUUUGGUGUGGAAAUGAAGCCCAGCGGCCUGGGGCUUGGCCUUUGUAGAUCAGCCUCCGAAGGUGAAGCUGGAAUGAGGGAAGGCAUCUGCCCCCAACACCAGGUGUCUGAGGCUCUGGCCCCACCCCACAAAAGGGAGACACUCUCCAGCAAAGCUGCCGCUAAGCAGGGGCUCGGCGGUGACUGCAGCUGGUGCAUCUUUUCUUGUUUCCGUUUUGCUGUGGUCACUUGAUUUUAGAAGUUGCUGGAGGUACCUGUCCACCCCCUCCUCAGACAAGGGGCUGGGUUGGUUUGCAGGUAGAAUCACUUUCCCUUUUCUCUGGACUUGAUUUUCAGGCCAGUGGACUUGCGCAGCCUUUGUUUUGGCUGUUGUCCCUUCUCUAGUCCUUGCUAUGUUGCUGAAUAUUAGCACAGUAUUUGUAAGGGAGGGUGGGUUGGAGUAGAAUGAAAAUUCAACCAUUUUUGCCUGACAGCAGAUUUGAUAGAAGUUUUAGUAGAGGAGAAGUUAGAAUUUAAC